rnacentral:rRNA from 1 species
GGACGCUUUCGGGGGUUUCGGCCUCCGAGGGAGUGGCGGACGGGUGAGUAGCGCGUGGGAACCUGCCUUGGAGUGGGGGAUAACCGAGGGAAACUUCGGCUAAUACCGCAUACGCCCCGGCGCGAGCCGGGGGAAAGAUUGAUCGCUCCAAGAGGGGCCCGCGUCGGAUUAGGUAGUUGGUGGGGUAACGGCCCACCAAGCCUGUGAUCCGUAGCUGGUCUGAGAGGAUGAUCAGCCACACUGGGACUGAGACACGGCCCAGACUCCUACGGGAGGCAGCAGUGGGGAAUAUUGGACAAUGGGCGCAAGCCUGAUCCAGCAAUGCCGCGUGAGUGAUGAAGGCCUUAGGGUUGUAAAGCUCUUUCAGCGGGGAAGAUAAUGACGGUACCCGCAGAAGAAGCCCCGGCUAACUUCGUG